rnacentral:piRNA from 1 species
GCACAAGACUGUAUACAUAAUAAAU